rnacentral:rRNA from 1 species
AGAGUUUGAUCCUGGCUCAGGAUGAACGCUGGCGGCGUGCUUAACACAUGCAAGUCGAACGAUUAACCCGCCCUCGGGCGGUUAUAGAGUGGCGAACUGGUGAGUAACACGUGACCAACCUGCCCCUUGCUCCGGGAUAACCCAGGGAAACCUCGGCUAAUACCGGAUACUCCGCGCAGCCCGCAUGGGGGGCGCGGGAAAGCCCAGACGGCAAGGGAUGGGGUCGCGGCCCAUUAGGUAGACGGCGGGGUAACGGCCCACCGUGCCCGCGAUGGGUAGCCGGGUUGAGAGACCGAUCGGCCACAUUGGGACUGAGAUACGGCCCAGACUCCUACGGGAGGCAGCAGUGGGGAAUUUUGCGCAAUGGGGGAAACCCUGACGCAGCAACGCCGCGUGCGGGACGAAGGCCUUCGGGUUGUAAACCGCUUUCAGCAGGGAAUAUAGUGAAGGUACCUGCAGAAGAAGCUCCGGCUAACUACGUGCCAGCAGCCGCGGUAAUACGUAGGGAGCGAGCGUUAUCCGGAUUCAUUGGGCGUAAAGCGCGCGUAGGCGGCCCGUCAAGCGGGGUUUCAAAUCCAGGGGCUCAACCUCUGGCCGGACCCCGAACUGGCGGGCUCGAGUGCGGUAGAGGAAGGUGGAAUUCCCAGUGUAGCGGUGAAAUGCGCAGAUAUUGGGAAGAACACCGAUGGCGAAGGCAGCCUUCUGGGCCGCCACUGACGCUGAGGCGCGAAAGCUAGGGGAGCGAACAGGAUUAGAUACCCUGGUAGUCCUAGCCGUAAACGAUGGGCACUAGGUGUGGGGGAGCAUCUCCUCCGUGCCGCAGCCAACGCAUUAAGUGCCCCGCCUGGGGAGUACGGCCGCAAGGCUAAAACUCAAAG